UUGAACGCUGGCGGCAGGCUUAACACAUGCAAGUCGAGCGGAUGAAAGUAGCUUGCUACUGGAUUCAGCGGCGGACGGGUGAGUAAUGCUUAGGAAUCUGCCUAUUAGUGGGGGACAACGUUCCGAAAGGAGCGCUAAUACCGCAUACGUCCUACGGGAGAAAGCAGGGGACCUUCGGGCCUUGCGCUAAUAGAUGAGCCUAAGUCGGAUUAGCUAGUUGGUAGGGUAAAGGCCUACCAAGGCGACGAUCUGUAGCGGGUCUGAGAGGAUGAUCCGCCACACUGGGACUGAGACACGGCCCAGACUCCUACGGGAGGCAGCAGUGGGGAAUAUUGGACAAUGGGGGGAACCCUGAUCCAGCCAUGCCGCGUGUGUGAAGAAGGCCUUUUGGUUGUAAAGCACUUUAAGCGAGGAGGAGGCUACCUAGAUUAAUACUUUAGGAUAGUGGACGUUACUCGCAGAAUAAGCACCGGCUAACUCUGUGCCAGCAGCCGCGGUAAUACAGAGGGUGCGAGCGUUAAUCGGAUUUACUGGGCGUAAAGCGUGCGUAGGCGGCCAAUUAAGUCAAAUGUGAAAUCCCCGAGCUUAACUUGGGAAUUGCAUUCGAUACUGGUUGGCUAGAGUAUGGGAGAGGAUGGUAGAAUUCCAGGUGUAGCGGUGAAAUGCGUAGAGAUCUGGAGGAAUACCGAUGGCGAAAGCAGCCAUCUGGCCUAAUACUGACGCUGAGGUACGAAAGCAUGGGGAGCAA
rnacentral:rRNA from 1 species